rfam:Cavia porcellus supercont2_8 genomic scaffold, whole genome shotgun sequence.
GGGGAUUUAGCUCAGCGGCAUAAGCGCCUGCCUUGCAAGCAGGCAGUUGUGAGUUUAAUCCCUG